ensembl:lncRNA
GCUGUGAAAAAGCCCAUUCGCGGCGCCGCAAAAAUGCUUUUUUAUUCAAACCAUAAAAGGCAUGUUUGACAGUGAACAUGUUUUAAUGGGCAGUAGGGGCAUGCUUGGCCACACAUGGGUUGCUGGCUGCUGAGGGAUAAAGGAGGAAAUAGACAAGAGAGGGGGGGGCGCCAGCCUGCCUGUAGGGAAUUGAGCGAUCCCGCACCUAAGAUGAAUUGAGGUGGGGGGGAAGGGCGGGAGGUCAGGGUAGUCCGUGUCAGUCCCCUCAUGGUGGUCACCGGCCCCCUUCGGCAACCCCCUUCCCAAGGUCUCUCUCCGUCGGCCCCUGGGGGUCUGGUGUGGCUGAUAAUAAAAGAGAGAGGAGAUGGAGGAGGAGGCAGGGAGCAAACACGGGGCUGUCUGUCUGGGCCGUCGGCCCCGCCGGGCCAGGGAGCAGGUCAAAGGGCCUCGCCGCGGAGCUCCCGCGACUCCUCCUCCAGCCUUUGUCCCCCCCCCCCCCCCCCACCCCCUCCCCUGCGGGAAACCUUUUUGUGGAGAUGAGACAGCGGGCCUGCUGCGCCGGGCUGGGUGGAGGAUAAGGAUCAGGCUGGCUGCAGUAGGGCGGCAGAUGGCUGCUUGAGCCCAUGUGAGCCGACACACCCCUCCGGCCCCCCCCCAGCUCCCCGAGCCGCGGCCGCCGUCACCAACAGAAGCAGAGCUCCCUGGCUGCGCGGCCGGUGGCAGCAGAGGACAUGCGGAGGACUGACUCGCAUCAUUCGGUUACUAAAAGGACAGAAAGCGAUGGGACGACAUAAAGAGCAUGGCACACGGGGAAGUGAUCCGCUUCUUUAAAAUGUUCCCGUGCUCGAGCCGUUCGUUGCAGUGGACAUUUUGCAAGUGUUUAAUAUUGACUGUAUUUGCUUUUGUGUUUGAGGAAAAACGACAACUAUUAACCUGUGUAUUUGAAGAUGACAAUGACAAAAAGAAGAAUUCUUAUCAUGUGACCUCAUUUGCUAAUUAUCACGUGGACCCCCCCCCCCCCCCUCUCUCAUUCCAGCUAACGUGUGUGACAUGAUUUUCACGCACCAAGCCAAUCAUGUGGGCUCUAUAUAUUCUACAUUCAGUAUAUCGACAAGUAUUCAAAACGGAGGUCGGGCGACUGUGGUCGUUCCUAUGGCGACCUAGUUCUUUGUUUGGGAGUAGUCGUGCGCAUGCGUGUGCAAAUACGUAUGCGCAUACAUACAUGGUCACCCGUUGAAUCUCCGUGUUCUAUAAUUUUAUAAUGUUAUAUCAUUUUUUUUAUCUGUCUUGCAUCAAGAAUUAUGAAUCCUGUGACGUAGGAACACCACCCAGAAAUGAGUUGGAUGAGGAAGGUGAUUUUAAAGCUCCCAGAUGUUUGUUUGUUUGUUUGUUUGUUUCAGGCGGGCUGUAAGUGUUUGUCCAUUUAAGAGGUCAUUAGGUUUAUUGUUUUGUUCUUUAUUUCGUUUUCUAGGUUUUUAUUUAAAUUAUAUUAAGGUCAUGUAUGAAUAUAUAUAGAGAUAUAUCUACAGAUAUAGAGAUAUAGAUAUAUCUCUAUAUAUGUAUGUAACCCGUCUGGUUGGGUUUUCUGAGACGUGAAACCGUUGUGACACCCGGCUUGCUGUGUAAGUGUCGUAUCACAGCGUUUCAGUCCAGGAAAAGAAAAUACCCACCGGUGAGUUUCCAUUAUGCAAAGAGCAACUUGCUCUCACAGCAGAUGGGGGCAGGUGGAGUAAGACCCCGUCCCUCCCCCUGUCGUCUGUGGUACUGGAGCCUCCCCGGCCCCCCGUGUGCCCUUAGACCUUUCUGCUCGGGGUCCAAUGACUCGACUAUUGAAUGAGACGCCCCUCCAUUUGCAUAUUUGCAUGGACAUUGAAGACCGAGGUCCCGGUGAGACGAGCUGUACGUGUAGUGGGUCAUCUUGUAAGCUCUGGGGGGGUUUUUUGUUUUGUUUUUCUAAGCAACUGAAAAAUAAACUAAUAGGAAAAAAGAAUGAUGGGA